UGGGGAAUAUUGCACAAUGGGCGCAAGCCUGAUGCAGCCAUGCCGCGUGUAUGAAGAAGGCCUUCGGGUUGUAAAGUACUUUCAGCGGGGAGGAAGGGAGUAAAGUUAAUACCUUUGCUCAUUGACGUUACCCGCAGAAGAAGCACCGGCUAACUCCGUGCCAGCAGCCGCGGUAAUACGGAGGGUGCAAGCGUUAAUGGGAAUUACUGGGCGUAAAGCGCACGCAGGCGGUUUGUUAAGUCAGAUGUGAAAUCCCCGGGCUCAACCUGGGAACUGCAUCUGAUACUGGCAAGCUUGAGUCUCGUAGAGGGGGGUAGAAUUCCAGGUGUAGCGGUGAAAUGCGUAGAGAUCUGGAGGAAUACCGGUGGCGAAGGCGACUUACUGGGCUCAUUCUGACGCUGAGGAACGAAAGCGUGGGUAGCAAACAGG
rnacentral:rRNA from 1 species